AUUGAACGCUGGCGGCAGGCUUAACACAUGCAAGUCGAGCGGGGACUUCGGUCCUAGCGGCGAACGGGUGAGGAAUGCUUGGGAAUCUGCCUUGUAGUGGGGGAUGACGUUUCGAAAGGAACGCUAAUACCGCAUACGUCCUACGGGAGAAAGGGGGGGAUCUUCGGACCUCUCGCUAUAAGAUGGGCCCAAGUCGGAUUAGCUAGUUGGUGGGGUAAAGGCUCACCAAGGCGACGAUCCGUAGCUGGUCUGAGAGGAUGAUCAGCCACACUGGAACGGAGACACGGUCCGGACUCCUACGGGAGGCAGCAGUGGGGAAUAUUGGACAAUGGGCGAAAGCCUGAUCCAGCCAUGCCGCGUGUGUGAAGAAGGCCUUCGGGUUGUAAGCACUUUAAGCGAGGGGGAAUGGCUCUGGGUUAAUACCCUUGAGCAGUGACGUUACUCGCAGAAUAAGCACCGGCUAACUCUGUGCCAGCCGCCGCCGUAA
rnacentral:rRNA from 1 species